CCUAUCAUCCUUGGGGACAACCCCACAAACUUCUUUAAAGCAGGCUUUGAAUCUGAUGAUGAUGAUGAUUCUUUUCGUGACCUUGACAUUGGGACACUUGUCAUUGAGCGUGAAGGUGCUGUGCACACAUCUUCCCAGCAUCUCAGUCCAGCCUCGUUGCAAAUCAUCAUUGAGGGAGAAGUUGUGAUGGACAACAUUCAAAAUCUGCCGACAGCAAUGUGCAUUCUGUUUGGACUCACGUAUGCACUCCAUCUUAACUACCCCAAGACUAUGAAGCUCACAUUUCAGUUCAUCCAACAGACAGACAGGGACAACACCAACACACGUAAACAACACAGACACGUACAACACCAACACACAUAACACACACGUAAACAACACAGACG